rnacentral:rRNA from 1 species
UCUCUCUGAAUCUGCGAACGGCUCCGCAAACCAGUUGUAAACUAUAGCAAGCAAGCUCCAGGCCGGCCUUCACGGGCUGGCCUGGGGCGAUAUGGAUAACCCUGGUAAUUCUGAGGCUAAUACACGAACGUAAAACCUAGUGGACCGGCCUCGGCUGGGAAGCUGGGGGACGUGCGAUUGCAGGCUUGGUAACUCCGGGAAAGGGCGCACGUCCAGACCACGCUAAAAAGGUCGGGUCCCUUCGGGGGCUCGUCCCAGUGGCUCUUGCUGUGUGCUUCUGACCUAUCAACUAGACGGCAGCGUAAGGGACAUGCUAUGGUGACAACGGGUACAGAGGAUUAGGGUUCGAUCCUGGAGAGUGGGCCUGAGAGAUU